AGGUUAACCGCAUAGGGGAGCCGUAGAGAAAUCGAGUCUUAAUAGGGCGUUUAGUUGCUGGGUGUAGACCCGAAACCGGGUGAUCUAUCCAUGAGCAGGUUGAAGGUUGGGUAACACUAACUGGAGGACCGAACCCACUGUCGUUGAAAAGCCAGGGGAUGACUUGUGGAUAGGGGUGAAAGGCUAAUCAAACUCGGUGAUAGCUGGUUCUCCCCGAAAGCUAUUUAGGUAGCGCCUCGGACGAAUACCAUUGGGGGUAGAGCACUGUUUCGGCUAGGGGGUCAUCCCGACUUACCAAACCGAUGCAAACUCCGAAUACCAAUGAGUACUAUCCGGGAGACAGACUGCGGGUGCUAACGUCCGUAGUCAAGAGGAAAACAAUCCAGACCGCCAGCUAAGGCCCCAAAAUUAUAGUUAAGUGGGAAACGAUGUGGGAAGGCAUAGACAGCUAGGAGGUUGGCUUAGAAGCAGCCACCCUUUAAAGAAAGCGUAAUAGCUCACUAGUCGAGUCGGCCUGCGCGGAAGAUGUAACGGGGCUAAAACUAUAUGCCGAAGCUGCGGAUUUGCAAUUUAUUGCAAGUGGUAGGGGAGCGUUCUGUAAGCCGAUGAAGGUGUAUUGAGAAGUAUGCUGGAGGUAUCAGAAGUGCGAAUGCUGACGUGAGUAACGACAAUGCGAGUGAAAAACUCGCACGCUGAAAGACCAAGGGUUCCAGUCCAACGUUAAUCGGGGCUGGGUGAGUCGACCCCUAAGGCGAGGCCGAGAGGCGUAGUCGAUGGGAAAUUGGUUAAUAUUCCAAUACUUCUAUGUAAUGCGAUGAGAGGACGGAGAAGGUUAAGUCAGCCUGGCGUUGGUUGUCCAGGUGGAAGGUUGUAGGCAUGUAUCUUAGGCAAAUCCGGGGUACUCUAUGCUGAGAACUGAUAGCAAGCUGUACUUGUACAGUGAAGUGGCUGAUACCAUGCUUCCAGGAAAAGUCUCUAAGCUUCAGUUACAUAGGAAUCGUACCCGAAACCGACACAGGUGGUCAGGUCGAGUAGACCAAAGCGCUUGAGAGAACUCUGCUGAAGGAACUAGGCAAAAUGGUACCGUAACUUCGGGAGAAGGUACGCUGCCGACGGUGAUAGGAUUUACUCCUUGAGCUAUUGGCAGCCACAGAAACCAGGCCCCUGCAACUGUUUAUUAAAAACAUAGCACUCUGCAAACACGAAAGUGGACGUAUAGGGUGUGAUGCCUGCCCGGUGCUGGAAGGUUAAUUGAUGGGGUUAGCGUAAGCGAAGCUCUUGAUCGAAGCCCCAGUAAACGGCGGCCGUAACUAUAACGGUCCUAAGGUAGCGAAAUUCCUUGUCGGGUAAGUUCCGACCUGCACGAAUGGCAUAAUGAUGGGGGCGCUGUCUCCAGCAGAGACUCAGUGAAAUCGAAUUCGCCGUGAAGAUGCGGUGUACCCGCGGCUAGACGGAAAGACCCCGUGAACCUUUACUGCAGCUUGACAUUGAACUUUGAUCUUACUUGUGUAGGAUAGGUGGGAGGCUUUGAAACCGAGACGCUAGUUUCGGUGGAGCCAAUCUUGAAAUACCACCCUGGUAAUAUUGAGGUUCUAACUCUGCUCCAUUAUCUGGAGCGAGGACCAUGUCUGGUGGGUAGUUUGACUGGGGCGGUCUCCUCCUAAAGAGUAACGGAGGAGUACGAAGGUGCGCUCAGCGUGGUCGGAAAUCACGCGUAGAGUAUAAAGGCAAAAGCGCGCUUAACUGCGAGACCCACAAGUCGAGCAGGUACGAAAGUAGGUCUUAGUGAUCCGGUGGUUCUGUAUGGAAGGGCCAUCGCUCAACGGAUAAAAGGUACUCUGGGGAUAACAGGCUGAUACCGCCCAAGAGUUCAUAUCGACGGCGGUGUUUGGCACCUCGAUGUCGGCUCAUCUCAUCCUGGGGCUGAAGCAGGUCCCAAGGGUAUGGCUGUUCGCCAUUUAAAGAGGUACGCGAGCUGGGUUUAGAACGUCGUGAGACAGUUCGGUCCCUAUCUACCGUGGGCGUUGGAAAUUUGAGAGGAUCUGCUCCUAGUACGAGAGGACCAGAGUGGACGAACCUCUGGUGUACCGGUUGUGACGCCAGUCGCAUCGCCGGGUAGCUAUGUUCGGAAGGGAUAACCGCUGAAAGCAUCUAAGCGGGAAGCCUACCUCAAGAUAAGAUUUCCCUAGGACUUUAUGUCCUCUAAAGAGCCGUUGAAGACUACGACGUUGAUAGGUUGGAUGUGGAAGCAUAGUGAUAUGUGAAGCUGACCAAUACUAAUUGCUCGUGAGGCUUGACUAU
rnacentral:rRNA from 1 species